AGUGAACGCUGGCGGUAGGCCUAACACAUGCAAGUCGAACGGCAGCACAGGAGAGCUUGCUCUCUGGGUGGCGAGUGGCGGACGGGUGAGGAAUACAUCGGAAUCUACUCUGUCGUGGGGGAUAACGUAGGGAAACUUACGCUAAUACCGCAUACGACCUACGGAUGAAAGCAGGGGACCUUCGGGCCUUGCGCGAUUGAAUGAGCCGAUGUCGGAUUAGCUAGUUGGCGGGGUAAAGGCCCACCAAGGCGACGAUCCGUAGCUGGUCUGAGAGGAUGAUCAGCCACACUGGAACUGAGACACGGUCCAGACUCCUACGGGAGGCAGCAGUGGGGAAUAUUGGACAAUGGGCGCAAGCCUGAUCCAGCCAUACCGCGUGGGUGAAGAAGGCCUUCGGGUUGUAAAGCCCUUUUGUUGGGAAAGAAAUCCAGCUGGCUAAUACCCGGUUGGGAUGACGGUACCCAAUGAAUAAGCACCGGCUAACUUCGUGCCAGCAGCCGCAGUAA
rnacentral:rRNA from 1 species